rnacentral:rRNA from 1 species
UGGGGAAUUUUGGACAAUGGGCGAAAGCCUGAUCCAGCAAUGCCGCGUGUGUGAAGAAGGCCUUCGGGUUGUAAAGCACUUUUGUCCGGAAAGAAAUCCUUGGCUCUAAUACAGUCGGGGGAUGACGGUACCGGAAGAAUAAGCACCGGUUAACUACGUGCCAGCAGCCGCGGUAAUACGUAGGGUGCAAGCGUUAAUCGGAAUUACUGGGCGUAAAGCGUGCGCAGGCGGUUUGCUAAGACCGAUGUGAAAUCCCCGGGCUCAACCUGGGAACUGCAUUGGUGACUGGCAGGCUAGAGUAUGGCAGAGGGGGGUAGAAUUCCACGUGUAGCAGUGAAAUGCGUAGAGAUGUGGAGGAAUACCGAUGGCGAAGGCAGCCCCCUGGGCCAAUACUGACGCUCAUGCACGAAAGCGUGGGGAGCAAACAGGAUUAGAUACCCUGGUAGUCCACGCCCUAAACGAUGUCAACUAGUUGUUGGGGAUCAUUUCCUUCAGUAACGUAGCUAACGCGUGAAGUUGACCGCCU